GAUGAACGCUAGCGACAGGCUUAACACAUGCAAGUCGAGGGGCAGCAUGAUUUGUAGCAAUACAGAUUGAUGGCGACCGGCGCACGGGUGAGUAACGCGUAUGCAACUUACCUAUCAGAGGGGGAUAGCCCGGCGAAAGUCGGAUUAAUACCCCAUAAAACAGGGGUCCCGCAUGGGAAUAUUUGUUAAAGAUUCAUCGCUGAUAGAUAGGCAUGCGUUCCAUUAGGCAGUUGGCGGGGUAACGGCCCACCAAACCGACGAUGGAUAGGGGUUCUGAGAGGAAGGUCCCCCACAUUGGUACUGAGACACGGGACCAAACUCCUACGGGAGGCAGCAGUGAGGAAUAUUGGUCAAUGGCCGAGAGGCUGAACCAGCCAAGUCGCGUGAAGGAAGAAGGAUCUAUGGUUUGUAAACUUCUUUUAUAGGGGAAUAAAGUGGAGGACGUGUCCUUUUUUGUAUGUACCCUAUGAAUAAGCAUCGGCUAACUCCGUGCCAGCAGCCG
rnacentral:rRNA from 1 species